rnacentral:tRNA from 1 species
GGGGUUGUGGCUCAGCGGUAGAGCACUCACCUAGCACAUGUGAGGCCUGGGUUCAAUCCUUAGCACCA